UACAGAGACUGCAAGCGUUAUUCGGAUUCACUGGGCGUAAAGGGUGCGCAGGCGGCCAAGUGUGUUAGGCGUGAAAGCCCGGGGCUUAACCUCGGAAUUGCACCUAAAACUACUUGGCUAGAGCAUUGGAGAGGGUAGCGGAAUUCACGGUGUAGCAGUGAAAUGCGUAGAUAUCGAGAGGAACACCUGCGGCGAAGGCGGGUUGCUGGGCUGAUACUGACGCUGAGGCGCGAAAGCUAGGGGAGCGAACGGG
rnacentral:rRNA from 1 species